GAGCCAUUAGCUCAGUUGGUAGAGCAUCUGACUUUUAAUCAGAGGGUCGAAGGUUCGAGUCCGUUCAUGGCUCA
rnacentral:tRNA from 1 species